GUUAGGAAUAUUGGACAAUGGGCGCAAGCCUGAUCCAGCCAUGCCGCGUGAGUGAUGAAGGCCUUCGGGUUGUAAAGCUCUUUAGCCGAUGAAUAUAAUGACUGUAGUCGGAAAAUAAGCCCCGGCUAACUUCGUGCCAGCAGCCGCGGUAAUACGAGGGGGGCGAGCGUUGUUCGGAAUCACUGGGCGUAAAGCGUGCGUAGGCGGUUAUGAAAGUUAGGAGUGAAAGCCCCAGGCUCAACUUGGGAAUUGCUCUUAAUACUCCAUGACUCGAAUUCGGGAGAGGAUAGCGGAAUUGUCAGUGUAGCAGUGAAAUGCGUAGAUAUUGACAGGAACACCAGUGGCGUAAGCGGCUAUCUGGACCGACAUUGACGCUGAGGCACGAAAGCGUGGGGAUCAAACAGGAUUAGAAACCCCGGUAGUCC
rnacentral:rRNA from 1 species